UACGAGGGGGGCGAGCGUUGUUCGGAGUUACUGGGCGUAAAGCGCUUGUAGGCGGUCCACCAAGUUUGGGGUGACAGUUGCCGACUUAAUCGGCAAAGUGCCUCAAAGACUGGCGGACUUGAGGGCCACAGAGGGACAUGGAACUCCAGGUGUAGUGGUGAAAUGCGUAGAUAUCUGGAAGAACACCAAAGGCGAAGGCAGUGUCCUGGGUGGUCGCUGACGCUGAGAGGCGAAAGCCAGGGGAGCGAACGGG
rnacentral:rRNA from 1 species